AAAGAGAAGUGGCUGUCAGAGCAGGGCACUGAACCAGCCAAACCAUUCCUCAGCGCUGGAAAGGAGAUGGCUAUUAGAGUGAAUAAGUGCCAGGUCACUGCUGAACUGUGACAGGCGUGCGGGAGGGCUGAAGUGUUUACUGGCCUUUAUAGUCAGGCCCACUCACAGGACGCUGCGGGGUCCUCACAGGGAUGACUGGUCAAAUUAUAAGAGACAGAUUUACUACGUGUUUACACUGGGCAAAAGUUCUCACCUGGAUUUUUCGGUUGGAAAUAUAUCAAAUUUGUCUAAACUGAUAUAUUAAGGCUAAGAGAAGGAUUGAGACCUCAAAUGGAGACACCAAAAAGUACUCGACGGGAUCGAUGGGACUGCAGUGGAGAAGGUAAAAAGCUCCUCAGUGUACACAUCACUGACUAUCUGAAAUGGUCCACCCACAAUUGAGAGCAUCCUGUCGGGCUGUAUCACCGCCUGGUACGGCAACUGCACCGCCUGUAGCCGCAGGGCUCUCCAGACGGUGGUAUGGUCUACCCAACUCAUCACUGGGGGCACACUGUCUGCCCUCCAGGACACCUACAGCACCCAGUGUCACAGGAAAGCCAAAAAGAUCAACAAGGACCAACCACCCGAGCCACGGCCUGUUCACCCCGUUAUCAUUCCGUUGGCAAGGACCUGAGCCGUAGGACCAUGCCUCAGGACUACCUGGCAUGAGUACUCCUUGCUGUCCCCAGUCCACCUGGCCGUGCUGCUGCUCCAGUUUCAACUGUUCUGCCUGCGGUUAUGGAAUCCUGACCUGUUCACCGGACGUGCUACCUGUCCCAGACAUGCUGUUUUCAACUCUCUAGAGACAGCAGGAGUGGUAGAGAUACUCUUAAUGAUCGGCUAUGAAAAGCCAACUGACAACUACUGUGAUUAUUAUUAUUUGACCAUGCUGGUCAUUUAUGAACAUUUGAACAUCUUGGCCAUGUUCUGUUAUAAUCUCCACCCGGCACAGCCAGAAGAGGACUGGCCACCCCUCAUAGCCUGGUUCCUCUCUAGGUUUCUUCCUAGGUUUUGGCCUUUCUAGGGAGUUUUUCCUAGCCACUGUGCUUCUACACCUGCAUUGCUUGCUGUUUGGGGUUUUAGGCUGGGUUUCUGUACAGCACUUUGAGAUAUCAGCUGAUGUACUAAGGGCUAUAUAAAUACAUUUGAUUUGAUUUGUGUUCACUUGGUACAGAAAUAAAAACAGCAUUUAUUCUAAAUUACGGUAAAAUAUAAAUUGCGUGUGUUGAUGUGUGUGUAGAGCACCAGUCCCUCUCCUCUUGUUGUUGUAAACCCUAAUGCACUGUUCAGAUGGCUGUGCUCCAGUCAGUCUGUCCCUGUAUGUGUCUCAGAGGCCUAGUCUAUUGUUACUUCCCUCAGCUCUCAAUGUUUAGGAUUGGAGCGAGCUGCUCUGCCCAGAGAGGGACAAGGAGAAUACUGGUGGAGAGAAUACACCAUGGCCAGAACACACUAUCAGUACAGGACCAGUCAAAACAUCCCAUAAUCAUAAAACCUAAACCCUGUGUCCAUAAUGACCAGUUCCCUCUGCUGUGCUGUCAUUGGCUGGAUUACAAUUAGGAUUAGGAUGGAUCGGUUUAGCUGCUAGGCUGAUUGAAAUACAGUAAAAAAAUAAAUAACAAUAAGGCUUUUUCAUUGAUGUGCUGUCUUUUGUGUAAACAGUGGUUUAUACAGUGUCAGGUACAGAUAAUCCUACCAAUUCAGGAGGAUUACAGAGAAUCAAUAGUGACCCAGUCUUUACAUGAGCAGACAAAAUCAUCAGGGAUCUACCUUUCAGAGCAGAA